UGGCGGACAAGGUUAACCACAAGCAGUAAGAUGCAUUCGUCCACACGUGCUGUCAUGGCGGUCAUACUCGUCCUCGCGCUGAUUCUACACGUGACGUUGUCGAUGCCAGCCGAAUGCAGCGGCCCGAAUGUUUCCGAGAGUGCCCUACGCAUGUGCUCCUCUCUUCGCGCUCUCUACCGGACGCUAGACGAUAUCGUCGAGCGCAAGCUGCCAGUGAAAAAAGGAUUUGCCAUUCCUGAGAUUCGGUAAAAGUGACGCGCGGAAACAGUCGAUAAAAGAGACCUGCCAUUCCUGA